rnacentral:rRNA from 1 species
UCCGCAGGCGGUCAAUUAAGUCAGAGGUGAAAUACCAUAGCUCAACUAUGGAACUGCCUUUGAUACUGGUUGACUUGAGUCAUAUGGAAGUAGAUAGAAUGUGUAGUGUAGCGGUGAAAUGCAUAGAUAUUACACAGAAUACCGAUUGCGAAGGCAGUCUACCACGUAUGUACUGACGCUGAGGGACGAAAGCGUGGGGAGCGAACAGGAUUAGAUACCCUGGUAGUCC